CUUAACUGUUUAGAUGAUGAAUUAUGUGAUUAUAAGAAUUAUGAAAAAAAGAAAAAAAAUCAUUGAAACCCCCCCCCCAAACAUUUGAAUAUUCAGCAGAAUAUUCAGCAGAAAAUACUAUAGGGCUGGACUUGUUGUUGUCCUUUAAGUUUGGUUUGUGGAUGCUGUGAUAUUAUUGAUUUGUUUUAAUUCCAGGCAGUGUUGAUUACAUCAGCAGAACAGAAAAAAAAUAACUACUUCAUACUGUGCAGUAUACAAUGAAUAUUUUAUUUACUUAUUUAUUUAUAAUCCAAUUUUGUCUAAACAUUACUGAAUCCAUAGAUGCGUUUAUAAAUGGCAUUAAUAUUUAUUUAACUUUUAGGGAUCAGACGGUUUACCCGGUCUGGGUGGGGAAAACGGUGAUAAAGGAGAGAGAGUGAGUGACGAAAAGUUUAUUUGCAUGUGGUUGAAGGUGUAUUUUGAUAGUUACAGUCUAAUGUCCAAUCAUAUUGAUGAACAGGGUGAACAAGGAGUUGCAGGUGAAGCUGGGUUACCUGGACCUCUCGGACCAAAGGGUAUCCAAGGCGAUGCUGGUCCACCUGGAGCACUGGGUGCUCAAGGGGUGUCUGGUGUCACUGGAGUUAAAGGAGACAAAGGAGCUUCCGGAGAAAGGGGUGAACCAGGUUUAGACGGGUUCCCAGGGAAACCAGGUCUUCUAGGAAAGGG
rnacentral:lncRNA from 1 species